GACGAACGCUGGCGGUGUGCUUAACACAUGCAAGUCGAACGGUAAGGCCCUUUCGGGGGUCCACGAGUGGCGCACGGGUGAGUAACACGUGAGUAACCUGCCCUCAUCUCUGGGAUAACAGUCGGAAACGGUUGCUAAUACUGGAUAUGAGCUUGCAAGGCAUCUUGUGGGUUGGAAAGAUUUUUUUGGUUGGGGAUGGACUCGCGGCCUAUCAGCUUGUUGGUGAGGUAGUGGCUCACCAAGGCUUCGACGGGUAGCCGGCCUGAGAGGGCGACCGGCCACAUUGGGACUGAGAUACGGCCCAAACUCCUACGGGAGGCAGCAGUGGGGAAUAUUGCACAAUGGACGGAAGUCUGAUGCAGCAACGCCGCGUGCGGGAUGACGGCCUUCGGGUUGUAAACCGCUUUCAAUUGUGACGAAGCUUUUUUGUGACGGUAGCAGUAGAAGAAGCACCGGCUAACUACGUG
rnacentral:rRNA from 1 species